GGGGGCGAUAGGUCUCGACGGCAGGAUGGAGGGUUCCGGGUUGCGUGCCGAGUUGCCGAAACUCGUUAAUAACCGGCACAAACAAUAAUUGCCAACGAUAAUUACGCACUGGCCGCUUAAGUAGCGACCCGUCCCUCGGGGUUUCCGUCGCCAGGAUCCCGAUGUGGACGUCACAAAUGGUGGGUGCUCCUUGCGAUGCGCUCUCGCGCGUGAGGCUAAGAUUCAGAGAGCUCGGGUAAGGGUAUC
rnacentral:tmRNA from 1 species